AUACGUAGGUGACAAGCGUUAUCCGGAUUUACUGGGCGUAAAGGGCGUGUAGGCGGUCUUGCAAGUCAGAAGUGAAAUUCCUGAGCUCAACUCGGGCGCUGCUUCUGAAACUGCAGGACUUGAGUGCUGGAGGGGAUAGCGGAAUUCCUAGUGGAGCGGUAAAAUGCGCAGAUAUUAGGAAGAACACCGGUGGCGAAGGCGGCUAUCUGGACAGUAACUGACGCUGAGGCGCGAAAGCGUGGGGAGCAAACAGGAUUAGAUACCCUGGUAGUCCACGCCGUAAACGAUGAGCACUAGUUGUUGGGUCCGAAUGGAUUCAGUGACGCAGUUAACGCAAUAAGUGCUCCGCCUGGGGAGUACGGUGGCAACACUGAAACUCAAAUGAAUUGACGGGG
rnacentral:rRNA from 1 species